rnacentral:rRNA from 1 species
AGUAUGAGAAAUUAAUGAUUUAAGUCAUUCUUAAAUGAGGCCAUUUACCCAUAGAGGGUGCCAGGCCCGUAUAACGUUAAUGAUUACUAGAUGGUGUUUCCAAAGAGUCGUGUUGCUUGAUAGUGCAGCACUAAGUGGGUGGUAAACUCCAUCUAAAACUAAAUAUAACCAUGAGACCGAUAGUAAACAAGUACCGUGAGGGAAAGUUGAAAAGAACUCUGAAUAGAGAGUUAAAUAGUACGUGAAACUGUUUAGAGGUUAAGCCCGAUGAACCUGAAUAUCCAUUAUGGAAAAUUCAUCAUUAGAGUUUUAAUAUUUUAAUAAUAUUAUAAUAAUAGUGUGCAUUUUUUCCAUAUAAGGACAUUGUAAUCUAUUAACAUAAACCAAAUUUAUCAUAAAAUAUGACUUAUAGUUUAUUUAAAUUAUUUUGCUUGCAUUUUAACAUAGAAUAAAUGUCAUUAAUUUGAUAAAGUGUUGAUAGAUUUAUAUGAAUACAGUGCGUUAAUUUUUCGGAAUUAUAUAAUAGCAUGAUUAUCAUUGAUUUUCUGUGUUUAUUAUAUGCACUUGUAUGAUUAACAAUGCGAAAGCUCCAGGAUACCUUCGGGACCCGUCUUGAAACACGGACCAAGGAGUCUAACAUAUGUGCAAGUUAUUGGGAUAUAAACCUAAUAGCAUAAUUAACUUGACUAAUAAUGGGAUUAGUUUUUUAACUAUUUAUAGAUAAUUAACACAAUCCCGGGGCGUUCUAUAUAGUUAUGUAUAAUGAUAUUUAUAUUAUUUAUACCUCUAACUGGAACGUACCUUGAGCAUAUAUGCUGUGACCCGAAAGAUGGUGAACUAUACUUGAUCAGGUUGAAGUCAGGGGAAACCCUGAUGGAAGACCGAAACAGUUCUGACGUGCAAAUCGAUUGUCAGAAUUGAGUAUAGGGGCGAAAGACCAAUCGAACCAUCUAGUAGCUGAAUAGUUGUAGUAGUUCAAGAAACAAUAACAUGGUUUAUGUGCUCGUUCUGGGUAAAUAGAGUUUCUAUCAUUUAUGAUAGUUAUUUGUUCCCCGGAUAGUUAGUUACGUAGCCAAUUGUGGAACUUUCUUGCUAAAAUUUUUAACAAUACUAAUUUUCAAUUAGUUCUUUUAAAUUAUAACGGUAGCCAAAUGCCUCGUCAUCUAAUUAGUGACGCGCAUGAAUGGAUUAACGAGAUUCCUACUGUCCCUAUCUACUGUCUAGCGAAACCACAGCCAAGGGAACGGGCUUGGAAUAAUUAGCGGGGAAAGAAGACCCUUUUGAGCUUGACUCUAAUCUGGCAGUGUAAGGAGACAUAAGAGGUGUAAAAUAAGUGGGAGAUAUUAUUCCUUGUGUUUGAUAUCGCCAAUGAAAUACCACUACUCUUAUUGUUUCCUUACUUACUUGAUUAAAUGGAACGUGUAUCAUUUCCUAGCCAUUAUACGGAUAUAUUUAUUAUAUCUUAUGGUAUUGGGUUUUGAUGCAAGCUUCUUGAUCAAAGUAUCACGAGUUUGUUAUAUAAUCGCAAACAAAUUCUUUAAUGAGAGAGUGCAUUUAUGUAUUUUUAAUUUGAAAUAUUUGGUAUAACUCCAAUUACUCAGGUAUGAUCCAAUUCAAGGACAUUGCCAGGUAGGGAGUUUGACUGGGGCGGUACAUCUCUCAAAUAAUAACGGAGGUGUUCCAAGGCCAGCUCAGUGCGGACAGAAACCACACAUAGAGCAAAAGGGCAAAUGCUGACUUGAUCUCGGUGUUCAGUACACACAGGGACAGCAAAAGCUCGGCCUAUCGAUCCUUUUGGUUUAAAGAGUUUUUAACAAGAGGUGUCAGAAAAGUUACCAUAGGGAUAACUGGCUUGUGGCGGCCAAGCGUUCGUAGCGACGUCGCUUUUUGAUCCUUCGAUGUCGGCUCUUCCUAUCAUUGUGAAGCAAAAUUCACCAAGCGUUGGAUUGUUCACCCAUGCAAGGGAACGUGAGCUGGGUUUAGACCGUCAUUCCUGCGUAGUACGAGAGGA